rnacentral:lncRNA from 1 species
GUUUGGAUUAGGAUUUGGUUAGGGUUUAUUUAGGAUUUAGGAUUUUUUUAGGAUUUGGUUUAGGAUUUAGGAUUUUCAUUAGGAUUUGAUUUAGGAUUUAGUUAGGAUUUUAUUUAGGAUUUAGGAUUUGGUUUAGGAUUUGGUUAGGAUUUGGUUUAGGAUUUGGUUGGGAUUUGGUUUAAGGUUUAUUUAGGGUUUCAUUUAGGUUUUAGGAUUUUAUUAAGAUUUAAGAUUCAAUUAGUUUUGGCCUAAAGUUUUAAUGAAGUUCAAUAGGAUUUUAACUAGAAUUAAAUUAAGAUUGAAUUGAGAUAUAUUUGAGUGACAUUUAUGUUCUUCUAUUAUUUCUUUAAGAAUUCUUAUUGUUUUUUUGAAAUUUCUUUGAGAUUUUUUUUGAAUUUGAUUAAGCUUGCUUAGCAUUAUUAUGGUUUAAUUAGAGCAUUGUUGGUAUUCUAUUAGAAUUAGAAUUUUGUUAUUACAAUUUCUAUUCUUCCUUCCAUAGCCAAGUGCUCGGAGCAUUCUCAAGCAAGACUUCACGUAUUACGACAACAGCUUAGACACAUUCCACCCGAUUUACUGGAGAAUCUUGAGGACCUUAAUUUAUCUCCUAAAUUUUUUUCUUGGCUUUGGAUUUGUUGAUUCCGAUUAUUCAAAUUGAACAGAGCAUUACAUUGCUAAUAAGUAUGCCCCGACUACUUGUAAUU